rnacentral:rRNA from 1 species
GAUGAACGCUGGCGGCGUGCCUAAUACGUGCAAGUCGAGCGAACAGACGAGGAGCUUGCUCCUUCGACGUUAGCGGCGGACGGGUGAGUAACACGUAGGUAACCUACCUGUAAGACUGGGAUAACAUCGGGAAACCGGAGCUAAUACCGGAUAAUAUUUCGAACCGCAUGGUUCGAUAGUGAAAGAUGGCUUUGCUAUCACUUAUAGAUGGACCUGCGCCGUAUUAGCUAGUUGGUAAGGUAACGGCCUACCAAGGCAACGAUACGUAGCCGAUCUGAGAGGGUGAUCGGCCACACUGGAACUGAGACACGGUCCAGACUCCUACGGGAGGCAGCAGUAGGGAAUCUUCCGCAAUGGGCGAAAGCCUGACGGAGCAACGCCGCGUGAGUGAUGAAGGUCUUCGGAUCGUAAAACUCUGUUAUUAGGGAAGAACAAACGUGUAAGUAACUGUGCACGUCUUGACGGUACCUAAUCAGAAAGCCACGGCUAACUACGUG